GCAAAACAGUAUUCAGGUCAAUAGGUAGCUAAUUCUAAAUCACAUUGCACUUUAUCUUAUGUCUUCACAUAGGUCCAAGAGCAGAACUACUUGACUCCAACAUUAAAAUCCUCUGGAAAAAAUCUCCAGCAGAGCUUGUCUCCCAGCCCUGUCUGUACAUUCACCUCAAUGGAUAGUACAUUUUUACCACUCACAAUAGAAGGAAACACUGGCCUCAAAAGGCAAAAAGUCACAGGCAAAAGAAAUAUCCCUAGAAGACCGUGAAAAUACAAUUUCCUUUAUGACAGGUAGCAAAAUAUCUUCUGUCACUUCUGGGGUUCUCAAUGCCCCUCUGUGCAGCAUUCAUAGCAUUCGAGUAUAUUAAGCAUUCCCAUCAUUUCUGUGUGGCCCGGCCUAUGUUCUAAUCCUAUGUAUUAGUACAGCUAACCACAGCUCACUCAGCACUGCUGUUUGCACAGCUGGAC
rnacentral:lncRNA from 1 species